GGAAAGGAUAAACAUGGAAUGAUAGGCCUGGGAUUACUACAGCCCAGUUUAACUUUUCCUACUACAUGAAGUAUACGGCUGCUUUCCUGGUGUGUUCUCAACAUUAAAUUCACUUCCAUUCAAGCUGCUGUGCUGUAAGACCAGCUAUCAUACUCCCUGCUUCUGACUGCUCUUUUUUUCCAGAAAUGAGCAAAAUCAGUCUGCAUGAAGCCUGCCAGAGUCCUGGACCUCAGUUGCAUAGAGUUGAGCAGACUGACCUGGAAUCGAGGCUGACAACAAAAAGUAGGUGGGAGUCAUCUCUGGCAGCUGAACUGUCUGGAUGUCUGCAGCCUUCUGUGAACAUCAGAACUGAUUUCUACCCUGGAACAGAAGAGAGGUGUUUACGCUCUGUGUUGCCCCCUCCCUUCAAGAGUACAAAGUUACUUGUUCCUCACAGUGAGAUGUCUUCUGGCUGCUUAAUGAGGUUUUGAAUGGCAGUGAACAGCUUUGCUUCCAAAAGUAAUGGCUGUAAGUAUUCACACUAUUUGAAUCAAUACUAAGUAGAUCAGGAAGUAACUUGGGUAGUGGGGAUAGUCUCUGCAUCUUUG
rnacentral:lncRNA from 1 species